rnacentral:lncRNA from 1 species
GAGACUGACUACCAUACUGGAGAUGCUAGGUGUUGGUGCUCAAGUCAGCAGUCUUAGCUGAACCCAGACUUUGAGCCAAGCCCAUCAGAACAUGAGCCAUUUAUUUUCUUACAGGCCAACAGAUAGAAGAAAGGAGUAUGGAGAACAUGUACCACUAUGUUUUGUCUGAGUCAGGGUGACAUAUGGCUUCUGCUCACGUUCCAGUUGGAAGACACUUAAUUACGUGGUCUCCACCUGCAUAAAAAGAAGUCUGGAAAAUGUAGUCUUUCUGUGUAUCCAGGGAGAGAAAAUCGCGUGGCAAACACAUGUUGUCUCUCUUACAGAGACUGUAUUGGUUAGCUCUUGAUGAGAAACAACCCAAAAUGUAAAAUAUUCAUGUAUUUUUUUUCUUUAAAUUAUUUGAGUCAGCUAAGCAAUUAUUUGAGUCAGGUCUGUGUUGCAUCAUCUGGGAUUCGAUGGUCUAGAUUAGUAGUUUUCAAAUGAGCCAAUUUAUAUACCUACUUCCAACACCACCAGGGGACAUUUGGCAAUGUCUGGACACACUUUUGCUUGUCAUAACUGGGGGAUUUUAUUGGCAUCUGGUGUAUAAAGGCCAGGGAUUCUGCUAGUCACUCUACAAUGCACAGGACAAGAUUCUGAAGAAAAAAAACACUUCAGGCCCAAAAUAUUAAUAGCAGGGAGGUAGAGAAACUCUAGUAUAGGAUGACCUAACUCAGAUGUCAUAGGCUGUUCAUGCUAAGGAGGACUCAGCUGAGAGGGAUGGACUUUCUUCCAUGGGGCUUCCAUCUUCCAGUAUGAGGACAAAGGCUUCUUUACAUCACAGUCUCAACAUUAUAAGGAGCAGCAAGAAAGAGAAGUUCUAAUAUAUCACAGAUGAAGAAAUGGCAAUAACAACUCUUUAUUUUUAGCUUGUGAUGAUGUGAGUGCUGAGCCAUCAUUCUCAUUCAAGUCUCUUGUGAUUGAAAAAGACUAAAAGGCACCUAUAGGCACCAUGAACCAUCUGAAAGCCAUACACGUGGAUGGGAAUUCGAUGUGUACUCUGUUAUGUUGGAGGACAGAAUAGAUCUGUUGGGUGAGAGUUAUUAGGAGUUUCAGUUUUACUAAAUGUAAGGACAAACUUGAUAACAAUCAGGGCAUCAAACAAUGGAUGUGCUGCUCUAGCAUCUUAAGUUGGUUUCCAAGAAGCAGCUCCUGAUUUGAUGAAGUACAUGUAAGUGGAGAAUGGAGAAACAGAAAGUAAAAUGAAGACAGAAAGAGACCAAGGAAAUCCGUCAUAUCAAGUAUGCAAUAUCAACCUUUGGAGGGUGACUUGGGCUCCAUCCCAGAAGGGAGCCUUGGAAACAGUGAAAACAGUGAUAGUCACUCUCAGAGUUUCUGAAUCAGAGCAAGAGGACUGGGGUAUUUAUACUCCUGCCCUCAUCACUGGUUAAGUCAUGAGGAGGAGUUGGUAUACAUUCACAGAUACUUCUGGUUCUAUGCGUUGUUAUGUAUGCAGGUAAUGAGGGUCCUGGUAGUCUGAGGGCAGCCCUCUAAUUGCUACUGUUGGGAGCAGAGGCACACCAGAAGCUGGUAGACAGAAAAAAAGUAGUGAAAGUGGUUUGCACGAAUAUCCUUGCAGCUCUGAAAUCACCAGCUCUGCUUUGUCUGUUGUUAUAUUUCAUUUCUGGAGAGAUCCAGGCAGAAGCUGCCAACUUCAACACCUAUUUUGACACUGAGA